UACGAAGGGGGCGAGCGUUGUUCGGAAUUACUGGGCGUAAAGGGCGCGCAGGCGGCUCUGAAAGUCAGAUGUGAAAGCCCCGGGCUUAACCUGGGAACUGCAUUUGAUACUCUGGAGCUUGAGUACGGGAGAGGAUAGUGGAAUUCCCAGUGUAGAGGUGAAAUUCGUAGAUAUUCGGAAGAACACCAGUGGCGAAGGCGACUUACUGGACACAUACUGACGCUGAGGUGCGAAAGCGUGGGGAGCAAACAGGG
rnacentral:rRNA from 1 species